AGCCCAGACUCCUACGGGAGGCAGCAGUGGGGAAUAUUGGACAAUGGGGGGAACCCUGAUCCAGCGACGCCGCGUGAGUGAAGAAGUAUUUCGGUAUGUAAAGCUCUAUCAGCAGGGAAGAAAGAAAUGACGGUACCUGACUAAGAAGCCCCGGCUAACUACGUGCCAGCAGCCGCGGUAAUACGUAGGGGGCAAGCGUUAUCCGGAUUUACUGGGUGUAAAGGGGGCGCAGACGGCAGCGCAAGCCAGGAGUGAAAGCCCGGGGCCCAACCCCGGGACUACAUUUGGAACUGUGUAGCUGGAGUGUCGGAGAGGCAGGCGGAAUUCCUAGUGUAGCGGUGAAAUGCGUAGAUAUUAGGAGGAACACCAGUGGCGAAGGCGGCCUGCUGGACGAUGACUGACGUUGAGGCUCGAAAGCGUGGGGAGCAAACAGGAUUAGAUACCCGCGUAC
rnacentral:rRNA from 1 species